AUUGAACGCUGGCGGCAUGCUUUACACAUGCAAGUCGAACGGUAACAGGCCGCAAGGUGCUGACGAGUGGCGAACGGGUGAGUAAUGCAUCGGAACGUGCCCAGUCGUGGGGGAUAACGCAGCGAAAGCUGCGCUAAUACCGCAUACGAUCUAUGGAUGAAAGCGGGGGACCGAAAGGCCUCGCGCGAUUUGAGCGGCCGAUGUCAGAUUAGGUAGUUGGUGGGGUAAAGGCCCACCAAGCCAACGAUCUGUAGCUGGUCUGAGAGGACGACCAGCCACACUGGGACUGAGACACGGCCCAGACUCCUACGGGAGGCAGCAGUGGGGAAUUUGGACAAUGGGCGCAAGCCUGAUCCAGCAAUGCCGCGUGCAGGAAGAAGGCCUUCGGGUUGUAAACUGCUUUUGUACGGAACGAAACGGUCCGGGUUAAUACCCUGGGCUAAUGACGGUACCGUAAGAAUAAGCACCGGCUAACUACGUGCCAGCCGCCGCGGGAAGAC
rnacentral:rRNA from 1 species